rnacentral:tRNA from 1 species
GGGGUUGUAGCUCAGUGGUAGAGUGCUUGCCUUGUAUGCAUGAGGCCAUGGGUUCCAUCCUCAGCACCA